GUCUGUGAUUUGCUCGUUUGCCUGUCAGGAAAACGUGUGUGUGUGUGUGUCUGUGUGUGUGUGUCUGUCUGUCUGUGUGUGUGUAUGUGUGUGUCUGUGUCUGUGUGUCUGUGUGUGCGUGUGUGUGUCUGUGUGUGCGUAUGUGUGUGUAUGUGUCUGUGUCUCUGUGUGUGUGUGUGUCUGUGUGUGUGUAUGUCUGUGUGUGUGUCUGUCUGUGUGUGCGUAUGUGUGUGUGUAUGUCUGUGUGUGUGUGUGUGCGUGUGUGUUUUCCCUGAUUAACUUUGGACAUGACAGAAGGAUCCACAGACCUGUGUACAACACGUAAAGGGGACAACAAAGCGAGAGGUGCCCGGGUGCUUUUCCUUGCAAACCUGCGAGGAGCCGGUCACUCUUGUCUGACUGCUACAGCAGCUCACAAGAAUUCUCCAGUUGCGUCCCGUGACUUUCCUGCUGACCUCCUGAUUCCCUACUGUGACCUGCAAGACGCACCCUCACCCUACUCCCUACUCCCGUUCUGGCCUGACCCUGACCUCACCUGGAAUCCACCUGCUCGCCCAGCACGGCCUCAUGUCGGCCUUCCCGGCCUUUCAAGCUCUCCUCCAGCUGCGGGGCGAGCUGUCCCCUCUGCCUAGGGUGUCCCCCACCUCUGUCUGCACAGGCGGCUCCUUCACGUCAUCCGUGCUCCUCUUCAAAGGCCACUGCCCACAGAACACUUCCUUCUAGACAGACACUUAUGUAUUGACUUAUCUAAGUUGACGUCUGGUUUUGCUUUCUGUUCGUUGAAUGUAAUACUUUCAGAACAUCUCUCAUUUUACUACACUCUUCUAUUAUAUGUCUCCUCCCACCAGCACAUAGACUCAUACUUUUCUCCCCAUGCUUAGAACACUGUGUUGCAUAAAACAGGCGCGCAUAUAUUUGCUGAAUGAAUGAAUGCAUAAAUAACUAUAAAUAUAAUAAAGUAUAAAAAUAGUUUAUUUGAGGGGAAUCACCUAAGUUUAUCAAUAAAAAAAUUAUUAAAGUCGUUCCAUAGUGAAGACAAUAGAGAAACUAUUGUAUAGCUAAAAGCUAAAGUCACUGUACUGAUUAACUAAAAUAUAUUGCUAUUGAAUGUUCAGUGAACUAUCUACGAUUCUAAUGUGUCUGAAAUUAGUAGUGAUUAUGGUUCCAAGUUUGAGCCCCAGUGUUCUA
ensembl:lncRNA